UGGGGUAUAGCUCAGUGGACAGCAUGUGUUCAGCAUGCACAAGGCCUUGGGUUCAAUCCCCAGUACCGGAA
rnacentral:tRNA from 1 species